rnacentral:rRNA from 1 species
CUACGGGAGGCUGCAGUGGGGAAUAUUGGGCAAUGGGCGCAAGCCUGACCCAGCAACGCCGCGUGAGGGAAGAAGGUUUUCGGAUUGUAAACCUCUGUCCUUGGGGACGAAGAAGUGACGGUACCCAAGGAGGAAGCUCCGGCUAACUACGUGCCAGCAGUCGCGGUAAUACGUAGGGAGCAAGCGUUGUCCGGAAUUACUGGGCGUAAAGGGUGCGUAGGCGGCAUAUUAAGUCAGGUGUGAAAUACUCGGGCUCAACCCGGGGGCUGCAUUUGAAACUGAUAGGCUUGAGUGUGAGAGAGGAAAGUGGAAUUCCUAGUGUAGCGGUGGAAUGCGUAGAUAUUAGGAGGAACACCAGUGGCGAAGGCGACUUUCUGGCUCAUAACUGACGCUGAGGCACGAAAGCGUGGGGAGCAAACAGGAUUAGAUACCCGAGUAGUC